AGUGGUGAUAGAGGCGCGGAAAUCAACAGUAGCUUUCUCGAGGAUGAACAGAUCCGUUGAAGGAAAGUGAAAGGGAAAUUCGCCGAAGUUCGACAUCCUGUAUCAGAUGUCGUGCUGGUUUUGCAUUGAAUAAAUGCAGGAUUGUCAGAAUCUAAUCGAUUCUGGAGGGCUAUCUCACAU
rfam:Paenisporosarcina sp. HGH0030 genomic scaffold acAqH-supercont1.1, whole genome shotgun sequence.